AUACGUAGGGUGCGAGCGUUAAUCGGAAUUACGUGGGCGUAAAGCGUGCGCAGGCGGUUGUUUAAGACAGAUGUGUAAGCCCUGGGCUCAACCUGGGAAUUGCGUUUGUGACUGGACGACUAGAGUGCAACAGAGGGGGGUGGAAUUCCACGUGUAGCAGUGAAAUGCGUAGAGAUGUGGAGGAACACCGAUGGCGAAGGCAGCCCCCUGGGUUGACACUGACGCUCAUGCACGAAAGCGUGGGGAGC
rnacentral:rRNA from 1 species